CAAAUUUGAAAUCUGGCUCCUUGGGGGUCCGAGUUGUAAUUUGUAGAGGAUGCUUCGGGUGCGGCACCGGUCUAAGUCCCUUGGAACAGGGCGUCAUAGAGGGUGAGGAUCCCGUAUGUGACCGGCGACCAAGCCCAUGUGAAGCUCCUUCGACGAGUCGAGUUGUUUGGGAAUGCAGCUCAAAAUGGGUGGUAAAUUUCAUCUAAAGCUAAAUACCGGCCAGAGACCGAUAGCGCACAAGUAGAGUGAUCGAAAGAUGAAAAGCACUUUGGAAAGAGAGUCAAAAAGUACGUGAAAUUGUUGAAAGGGAAGCGCUUGUAACCAGACCUGCCGUCGGGUGCUCCGCGGGCAUUCUUGCCCGUGUACUCACCCGCGAUCAGGCCAGCAUCGGUUUUGGCGGCCGGAUAAAGACUCGAGGAAUGUAGCUUCGCUUCGGGGAAGUGUUAUAGCCUCCUGUGCAAUACGGCCAGCCGGGACCGAGGACCGCGCUUCGGCUAGGAUGCUGGCGUAAUGGUUGCAAGCGACCCGUCUUGAAACACGGACCAAGGAGUCUAACAUCUAUGCGAGUGUUUGGGUGUCAAACCCAUGCGCGGAAUGAAAGUGAACGGAGGUGGGAACCCUCAAGGGCGCACCAUCGACCGAUCCGGAAGUUUACGGAUGGAUUUGAGUAUGAGCAUAGCUGUUGGGACCCGAAAGAUGGUGAACUAUGCCUGAAUAGGGUGAAGCCAGAGGAAACUCUGGUGGAGGCUCGCAGCGGUUCUGACGUGCAAAUCGAUCGUCAAAUUUGGGUAUAGGGGCGAAAGACUAAUCGAACCAUCUAGUAGCUGGUUCCUGCCGAAGUUUCCCUCAGGAUAGCAGUAACGUUUUCAGUUUUAUGAGGUAAAGCGAAUGAUUAGAGGCCUGGGGGAUGAAACAUCCUUCACCUAUUCUCAAACUUUCAAUAUGUAAGAAGUCCUUGUUACUUAGUUGAACGUGGACAUUUGAAUGCACCGUUACUAGUGGGCCAUUUUUGGUAAGCAGAACUGGCGAUGCGGGAUGAACCGAACGUGGGGUUAAGGUGCCGGAAUGUACGCUCAUCAGACACCAAGACUUGUGGUGUCUGGCCGGGGGAUGGACCCCCGGCAUCAGUCUGCGAAAGGCGAGGUCUUUGACCUGUAGGGGUCGGCGGUCGCUCCGGCGAUGGCUUACCCUCUGCUGUCCCCUGACCCGGGCAGCUCACAGAUCAAGCAAAGGCCGGCGGCAGUACGCCGUUGGAGAUAUGAUCGGCCCCCGAGGG
rnacentral:rRNA from 1 species